CCAACAAUCCGACGUUCGGGUGCCCGCCGUAGUUUCAACGAAGGCGGGAGAAUAGGGAAGAGGGUGUGAAUCCCUCGCUGCCCCGCAACUGUAAGCGGUGAUGAAAGCCGAAGCGAUGCCACUGUCCCGGUCGGGAUGGGAAGGCGCGGCGAGUAAGCUGACCCGCAAGCCAGGAGACCUGCCCGAGCGCUGCAUGCGGA
rnacentral:ncRNA from 2 species